rnacentral:ncRNA from 1 species
GAACGCCGUAUGCGGUGAAAGUCGUACUUACGGUGUGAACAGAGGGAAAAGGGAGCGAUAACUUCAAACCCUUGCCUAUCUGUAU